UCCCUGGUGGCUCAGGUGGUAAAGAAUCUGCCUGCAAUGCAGAAGACCCAGGUUCUAUCCCUGGAUUGUGAA
rfam:Ovis aries breed Texel chromosome 3, whole genome shotgun sequence.